AACUGAUACUACCUGCGGGAACCUGCGGAAGGAUCAUUACCGAGUGCGGGCCCUCUGGGUCCAACCUCCCAUCCGUGUCUCUUGUACCCUGUUGCUUCGGCGGGCCCGCCUUCAUGGCCGCCGGGGGGCUUCUGCCCCCGGGCCCGCGCCCGCCGGAGACUCCAACAUUGAACACUGUCUGAAGGUUGCAGUCUGAGUUUUCAUAUAAGAAAAAUCGUUAAAACUUUUAACAACGGAUCU
rnacentral:misc_RNA from 1 species